CUGUUGGAAAUAUGCCCUAGAGGCAAUAAUAAUUAGUUAUUAUUAUAUUUCUUUGUUUAUGAUAAUCGUUUAUUAUCCAUGCUAUAAUUGUAUUGAUUGGAAACACAAUACUUGUGUGGAUACAUAGACAAAACACUGUCCCUAGUAAGCCUCUAGUUGACUAGCUCGUUGAUCAAAGAUGGUCAAGGUUUCCUCGCCAUAGGCAAGUGUUGUUACUUGAUAACGGGAUCACAUCAUUAGGAGAAUCAUGUG
rnacentral:lncRNA from 1 species